AUGAACGCUAGCUACAGGCUUAACACAUGCAAGUCGAGGGGCAGCAUGGUCUUAGCUUGCUAAGACUGAUGGCGACCGGCGCACGGGUGAGUAACACGUAUCCAACCUGCCGUCUACUCUUGGACAGCCUUCUGAAAGGAAGAUUAAUACAAGAUGGCAUCAUGAGUCCGCAUGUUCACAUGAUUAAAGGUAUUCCGGUAGACGAUGGGGAUGCGUUCCAUUAGAUAGUAGGCGGGGUAACGGCCCACCUAGUCUUCGAUGGAUAGGGGUUCUGAGAGGAAGGUCCCCCACAUUGGAACUGAGACACGGUCCAAACUCCUACGGGAGGCAGCAGUGAGGAAUAUUGGUCAAUGGGCGAGAGCCUGAACCAGCCAAGUAGCGUGAAGGAUGACUGCCCUAUGGGUUGUAAACUUCUUUUAUAAAGGAAUAAAGUCGGGUAUGGAUACCCGUUUGCAUGUACUUUAUGAAUAAGGAUCGGCUAACUCCGUGCCAGCAGCCGCGGUAAUACGGAGGAUCCGAGCGUUAUCCGGAUUUAUUGGGUUUAAAGGGAGUGUAGAUGGAUGUUUAAGUCAGUUGUGAAAGUUUGCGGCUCAACCGUAAAAUUGCAGUUGAUACUGGAUAUCUUGAGUGCAGUUGAGGCAGGCGGAAUUCGUGGUGUAGCGGUGAAAUGCUUAGAUAUCACGAAGAACUCCGAUUGCGAAGGCAGCCUGCUAAGCUGCAACUGACAUUGAGGCUCGAAAGUGUGGGUAUCAAACAGGAUUAGAUACCCUGGUAGUCCACACGGUAAACGAUGAAUACUCGCUGUUUGCGAUAUACUGCAAGCGGCCAAGCGAAAGCGUUAAGUAUUCCACCUGGGGAGUACGCCGGCAACGGUGAAACUCAAAGGAAUUGACGGGGGCCCGCACAAGCGGAGGAACAUGUGGUUUAAUUCGAUGAUACGCGAGGAACCUUACCCGGGCUUAAAUUGCAGAUGAAUUACGGUGAAAGCCGUAAGCCGCAAGGCAUCUGUGAAGGUGCUGCAUGGUUGUCGUCAGCUCGUGCCGUGAGGUGUCGGCUUAAGUGCCAUAACGAGCGCAACCCUUGUUGUCAGUUACUAACAGGUUCCGCUGAGGACUCUGACAAGACUGCCAUCGUAAGAUGUGAGGAAGGUGGGGAUGACGUCAAAUCAGCACGGCCCUUACGUCCGGGGCUACACACGUGUUACAAUGGGGGGUACAGAGGGCCGCUACCACGCGAGUGGAUGCCAAUCCCCAAAACCUCUCUCAGUUCGGACUGGAGUCUGCAACCCGACUCCACGAAGCUGGAUUCGCUAGUAAUCGCGCAUCAGCCACGGCGCGGUGAAUACGUUCCCGGGCCUUGUACACACCGCCCGUCAAGCCAUGGGAGCCGGGGGUACCUGAAGUGCGUAACCGCGAGGAGCGCCCUAGGGUAAAACUGGUGACUGGGGCU
rnacentral:rRNA from 1 species